rfam:Endozoicomonas sp. S-B4-1T isolate SB41TT1 genome assembly, contig: SB41TT_contig_25
GGUCAAGUGACUAAGCGCACACGGUGGAUGCCUUGGCAGUCAGAGGCGAUGAAGGACGUGGUAAUCUGCGAUAAGCCUGGGGAAGCUGAUAAACAAGCUGUGAUCCCAGGAUUUCCGAAUGGGGAAACCCACCGGUCAUAAGGCCGGUAUCCUUUACCUGAAUACAUAGGGUUUAGGAGGCGAACCCGGGGAACUGAAACAUCUAAGUACCCGGAGGAAAAGAAAUCAACCGAGAUUCCCCUAGUAGCGGCGAGCGAACGGGGAUUAGCCCUUAAGCGGUUUAGAGUUUAGUGGAACGCUCUGGAAAGUGCGGCCAUAGUGGGUGAUAGCCCCGUACACGAAAGACUCUUUAUCGUGAAAACGAGUAAGGCGGGACACGUGAUAUCCUGUUUGAACAUGGGGGGACCAUCCUCCAAGGCUAAAUACUACUGACUGACCGAUAGUGAACCAGUACCGUGAGGGAAAGGCGAAAAGAACCCCGUUGAGGGGAGUGAAAUAGACCCUGAAACCGUGUGCGUACAAGCAGUGGGAGCAGACUUGUUCUGUGACUGCGUACCUUUUGUAUAAUGGGUCAGCGACUUAAUUUCAGUAGCAAGCUUAACCGAGUAGGGUAGGCGUAGGGAAACCGAGUCUUAAUAGGGCGAACAGUUGCUGGGAUUAGACCCGAAACCGGGCGAUCUAUCCAUGGGCAGGUUGAAGGUGCCGUAACAGGUACUGGAGGACCGAACCGACUACCGUUGAAAAGUUAGCGGAUGACCUGUGGAUCGGAGUGAAAGGCUAAUCAAGCUCGGAGAUAGCUGGUUCUCCCCGAAAGCUAUUUAGGUAGCGCCUCAUAUAUUACCCACGGGGGUAGAGCACUGUGUCGGCUAGGGGGUCAUCCCGACUUACCAACCCGAUGCAAACUCCGAAUACCGUGGAGUACAGUAUGGGAGACAGACGGCGGGUGCUAACGUCCGUCGUCAAGAGGGAAACAACCCAGACCGCCAGCUAAGGUCCCUAAACAUGAUUAAGUGGGAAACGAUGUGGGAAGGCUAAAACAGCUAGGAGGUUGGCUUAGAAGCAGCCACCCUUUAAAGAAAGCGUAAUAGCUCACUAGUCGAGUCGGCCCGCGCGGAAGAUGUAACGGGGCUCAAAUCAUGUACCGAAGCUGCGGAUUCACGCUUAGGCGUGAGUGGUAGGGGAGCGUUCUGUAAGCCGUUGAAGGUGUGUUGAGAAGCAUGCUGGAGGUAUCAGAAGUGCGAAUGCUGACAUGAGUAACGACAAAGGGAGUGAGAGGCUCCCUCGCCGGAAGACCAAGGUUUUCUGCACAACGCUAAUCGGUGCAGAGUGAGUCGGCCCCUAAGGUGAGAGCGAAAGCUGUAAUCGAUGGGAAACGGGUUAAUAUUCCCGUACUUCUUGUGACUGCGAUGGAAUGACGGAGAAGGCUAGGCCAGCAGGGCGAUGGUUGUCCCUGUUUAAGGUGGUAGGCUGGGGAAGUAGGCAAAUCCGCUUCCCUAAGGCCGAGAGCUGAUGACGAGUCCUCUUUUGGACGAAGUGGUUGAUGCCAGGCUUCCAGGAAAAGUUUCUAAGCUUCAGGUCACAAGGAACCGUACCCCAAACCGACACAGGUGGUCAGGUAGAGAAUACCAAGGCGCUUGAGAGAACUCGGGUGAAGGAACUAGGCAAAAUGGUACCGUAACUUCGGGAGAAGGUACGCCGGCCAGGGUGAAGCACUUGCUGCGUAAGCCCCGGCUGGUCGAAGAAACCAGGUGGCUGCAACUGUUUAUUAAAAACAUAGCACUGUGCCAACACGAAAGUGGACGUAUACGGUGUGACGCCUGCCCGGUGCCGGAAGGUUAAUUGAUGGGGUUAGCUUCGGCGAAGCUCUUGAUCGAAGCCCCGGUAAACGGCGGCCGUAACUAUAACGGUCCUAAGGUAGCGAAAUUCCUUGUCGGGUAAGUUCCGACCUGCACGAAUGGCGUAAUGAUGGCCACGCUGUCUCCACCCGAGACUCAGUGAAAUUGAAAUCGCAGUGAAGAUGCUGUGUAUCCGCGGCUAGACGGAAAGACCCCGUGAACCUUUACUACAGCUUCACACUGGACCUUGAUGUUAUUUGUGUAGGAUAGCUGGGAGGCUUUGAAGCUCGGACGCCAGUUCGAGUGGAGCCAAUCUUGAAAUACCAGCCUGAUAACAUUGGGGUUCUAACUCCGCGCCAUAAUCUGGCGUGAGGACAGUGUGUGGUGGGUAGUUUGACUGGGGCGGUCUCCUCCCAAAGAGUAACGGAGGAGUACGAAGGUUGGCUAAGCACGGUCGGACAUCGUGCGGUUAGUAUAAUGGUACAAGCCAGCUUGACUGCGAGAGCUACAACUCGAGCAGGUACGAAAGUAGGUCAUAGUGAUCCGGUGGUUCUGUAUGGAAGGGCCAUCGCUCAACGGAUAAAAGGUACUCCGGGGAUAACAGGCUGAUACCGCCCAAGAGUUCACAUCGACGGCGGUGUUUGGCACCUCGAUGUCGGCUCAUCACAUCCUGGGGCUGAAGCCGGUCCCAAGGGUAUGGCUGUUCGCCAUUUAAAGUGGUACGCGAGCUGGGUUUAGAACGUCGUGAGACAGUUCGGUCCCUAUCUGCCGUGGACGUUGGAAGUUUGAGAAGAGCUGCUCCUAGUACGAGAGGACCGGAGUGGACGAACCACUGGUGUUCCGGUUGUUUCGCCAGAAGCAUUGCCGGGUAGCUACGUUCGGACGGGAUAACCGCUGAAAGCAUCUAAGCGGGAAGCCCCCUUCAAGAUGAGACUUCCCAGGGACUUGAUCCCCUGAAGAGCCGUUCAAGACCAGGACGUUGAUAGGCUGGGUGUGUAAGCGUUGUGAGGCGUUGAGCUAACCAGUACUAAUGACUCGUGCGGCUUGACCAU